AGAAUGCCCUACUCCACCAACCACAGAUUCAACAAGUGUGAAUUUCUUUUGUUAGCCUGGCACCUAUUAUUAGGUCACUAUUCCUGUAGCUAUUGUUACACCAAUUCCAACAACCACCUAUUUGGUGUUAUCAGAUGUGUGGUAUCCUGUCGUAAGUCUUUGUUUAUAUGAGACAAGCAGCAAAUGAGUGAAGGCUGUAUACUAAAUUCAGGAGCAUAGUGGAAGAGUACAGAGUAUAGAAAAAUUGGAUUGAGGAAGGUGAUCUUAGAGAGUAGACAACAUACAGAACCUGGCAUGACAAGACUGGAAGGGACACUCUGCUGUGAAUAUCUAUAGUUGGUGGCUCAUCGAAACUCUCACAAAGUGUACCAAAAAGUCAAGUACCUUUGUGAUAAAGAAGUUACUAGAGGUUUUUUUCAGCCCACAAGAACUGUCAGCAACAGUUUCUUUUGUGAGGGAUUCUUUAGUUGAAAGAGAUGUGCAGAAUGAACGGAGCAGGACAGGAUGAGUAAAGAAGAGAAAUGUGGCAGAAAGAUGUAAAGAAGAGAAAUAUGGACAUGGCUUGAUUUUGAUGAUUUUGUUCGAUUUUUUAAUUUGAUU